UUAAGUGAUGACUUUAGACGAGGAACUGCCAGAAAAGGUAGUAAGAAAGGGUGACUUCGUUACAGUUAUAGUGGUCAGUCUCGUGUACUGCCUGAUCCAGAUACCCAGCAUUACCCCUACCACUUUUCAGCAAUCGAGAGUUAACACUACGGAAGUUGACGUUGUUUUUUCUCUCAUCCCCCACAAAGAUAUGAUUCCUGUGUUGAUUUACUUUACAGCUGUAGCAGCGUCCUCAGUAGCAGCUACCUUGGUCACAUUCUCUGGACACUACGAUUACGUGCUCUUAGGCUUCUCAGUACUCUCAGUGUCAAGGGUCUUCCUUGGUGGGGGUUACAACUCACUUGUUGUAAUUAUCCUAGGAGCCCUCUCCGGAUUAGGACUGGGAGGAUCGUUCGUGACUACAGCCCUCUACCUAAUAACUCUCUCGGACAACAAGAAAACGGCCCGUAACUUCAGCUUCUUUGCAGCGUGCUGUGGAGCGUCCUACCUUGUUUACGCGGGGAUGCUGGGUAUCACCAACCCCUGCACUGAGGGGGCCUGUAGAACGGGCAGUUUCGUAGCCUCGCUCAGCGGACUGCUCAUCAUGGUGCUGUUCAUUGUGAGAAACAAAGCCCUUAAGUCUGGAACAGUGGAGGAGAGAAGCAUGUUGUUCAGUAAGGACAGUUUAGACUUUAUAAACGGGACACACCGCUACAGACAGCAUAUAAACAAGUGGGCAGUACUGGAGGUGCUUAUAGCGGUCAUGUUUUACACCUACUCUGUAGAGCUACUGUCCAUGUUAUUCUCCCACUGUGUACUGAUAACUGGGAGUUACAGAUACCACGCUGAGGCUCUCAUACCUUACGGGAUAGGCUUCAUGUUGGCUUCCCUGCAGUGGUCCUACUACUACAAGCACUGGACAUCACCUAUCAGAACAGUCAUCUCCACAGUGCUCCUAGUCACAGGACUCAUCAUAUCUCUCCUCAUAUUCCGACACGACGCUUGCUCCACCCCACAGUUGUUGGAGUCCUGGUACAUGGUACCCGUCAUAGCCCUGCUGACUGGCCAGAGUGUGGGCUCUGUCACGUGCGAGACCUACACUGUCAUGAACAUUGCCUGGUCCACCAGGGCCAAGUUUAGUGUGUUGGUGGUCAUUGAAACGGUGUGGGCGCUGGGCUUCUUCUUGCUGUUCAGAAACAUUACUGUCACUAUACAUAUUAGUGUGCUCUCUGUUCUGGGCAUUUUUUAUUGUUUUAGUAUGAUGAGUUUUCAGAAGAGAGCUAAGAAGUUCUAUCAGAGAAUGGACAGUUAUUUGACUAAGAAUGUUAGUUCUUGUUCCAGUAAGACGUCCACUUCCAAAUAUGGGUCCAAUAUGACUUACUUACUUUAGAUACUUGUAACCUGUGGGAACUAUUUUUUUUCUAUUUUUAAGAAUUUUAAAGAAUUAAUGCUUAUGAUUAAAAUAUGUUCAGAACUUUAUACAUUAAAUUUUUUCAGAAUUUCAAUAAUUUUUAUAAACUGCCGUUUGAUUUAGGAACAAUAAACACACAUAACUUGAAAUAAAAAGUUCAGUAGAGCUAUUAUAGUACACAGUAUUCCGGAACAAGUAUGAGUAAUAUUGGCCCGCAAACACUUCUCAGUACGCACUGACUGACUCCUCUUGUAGACCAACCUUUUCCGUAUUUCGCCGUUAAUACACUUUUUACUUAUCAUGGUCGGGUCGUAAUUCAAAAGAUAAUUUGACAAGAAGUCUGGCUCACAAGAUCACUUAACGUCACUUAGCGCUUAAUUAUAGCGACCUUGUCUAGCGACUGGACGGCAACAGGUGGAUAUGAUCCGGUACAAGAAAUAUCCUUGUGUUUGGCUUGUACUAGCUCUUUUUCAGCGUCCUCAGUAGCAGCUACCUUAAUUAAAAGUCUAUACUGGUUUUCAGCGUCCUCAGUAGCAGCUACCUUAAUUAAAAGUCUAUACUGUUUUUCAGCGUCCUCAGUAGCAGCUACCUUGGUCACAUUCUCUGGACACUACGAUUACGUGCUCUUAGGCUUCUCUGUGCUGUCAGUGUCAAGGGUCUUCCUUGGUGGGGGUUACAACUCACUUGUUGUAAUUAUCCUAGGAGCACUCUCCGGAUUAGGACUGGGAGGAUCGUUCGUAACUACAGCCCUCUACCUAAUAACUCUCUCGGACAACAAGAAAACAGCCCGUAACUUCAGCUUCUUUGCAGCGUGCUGUGGAGCGUCCUACCUUGUCUACGCGGGGAUGCUGGGUAUCACCAACCCCUGCACUGAGGGGGCCUGUAGAACGGGCAGCUUCGUAGCCUCGCUCAGCGGACUGCUCAUCAUGGUGCUGUUCAUUGUGAGAAACAAAGCCCUCAAGUCUGGAACAGUGGAGGAGAGAAGCAUGUUGUUCAGUAAGGACAGUUUAGACUUUAUAAACGGGACACACCGCUACAGACAGCAUAUAAACAAGUGGGCAGUACUGGAGGUGCUUAUAGCGGUCAUGUUUUACACCUACUCUGUAGAGCUACUGUCCAUGUUAUUCUCCCACUGUGUACUGAUAACUGGGAGUUACAGAUACCACGCUGAGGCUCUCAUACCUUACGGGAUAGGCUUCAUGUUGGCUUCCCUGCAGUGGUCCUACUACUACAAGCACUGGACAUCACCUAUCAGAACAGUCAUCUCCACAGUGCUCCUAGUCACAGGACUCAUCAUAUCUCUCCUCAUAUUCCGACACGACGCUUGCUCCACCCCACAGUUGUUGGAGUCCUGGUACAUGGUACCCGUCAUAGCCCUGCUGACUGGCCAGAGUGUGGGCUCUGUCACGUGCGAGACCUACACUGUCAUGAACAUUGCCUGGUCCACCAGGGCCAAGUUUAGUGUGUUGGUGGUCAUUGAAACGGUGUGGGCGCUGGGCUUCUUCUUGCUGUUCAGAAACAUUACUGUCACUAUACAUAUUAGUGUGCUCUCUGUUCUGGGCAUUUUUUAUUGUUUUAGUAUGAUGAGUUUUCAGAAGAGAGCUAAGAAGUUCUAUCAGAGAAUGGACAGUUAUUUGACUAAGAAUGUUAGUUCUUGUUCCAGUAAGACGUCCACUUCCAAAUAUGGGUCUAAUAUGACUUACUUACUUUAGAUAUUUCUAAUCUGUGGGAACUUUCUUUUUUUUUCAUUUUUAAGAAUUUUAAAGAAUUAAUGCUUAUGAUUAUGUUCAGAACUUUUUACAUUAAAUGUUUUCAGAAUUUCACUAACUUUUAU